UACGUAGGUGGCAAGCGUUGUCCGGAUUUACUGGGCGUAAAGAGCGCGCAGGCGGUCGUUCAAGUCGCGUGUGAAAGCCCCCGGCUCAACCCAGGAACUGCGUCCGAUACUGGUUGGCUUGAAUCCGGGAGAGGGAUGUGGAAUUCCAGGUGUAGCGGUGAAAUGCGUAGAUAUCUGGAGGAACACCGGUGGCGAAGGCGACAUCCUGGACCGGUAUUGACGCUUAGGCGCGAAAGCCAGGGGAGCAAACGGG
rnacentral:rRNA from 1 species